GGAUGUCUUUUUGAACGUGUUACCUC
rnacentral:piRNA from 1 species